rfam:Pseudomonas brenneri strain RGCB 108 Contig005, whole genome shotgun sequence.
AGCAUUAUUACCGCCAUUCCUCAUUUGGCGGGAUAGCGUUCGGCUGUACCCAAACCCGCCCUAGAGGCGGGUUUU